UACAGAGGUAGCAAGCGUUGUUCGGAAUUACUGGGCGUAAAGGGCGCGUAGGCGGUCUUUUAAGUCUCGUGUGAAAUCCCUCGGCUCAACUGAGGAACUGCACGGGAUACUGGAUGACUUGAGUUCGGGAGAGGGAAGCGGAAUUCCGGGUGUAGCGGUGAAAUGCGUAGAUAUCCGGAGGAACACCGGUGGCGAAGGCGGCAUGCUGGACCUUCACUGACGCUGAGGCGCGAAAGCUAGGGGAGCGAACGGG
rnacentral:rRNA from 1 species